UACGUAGGGUGCGAGCGUUAAUCGGAAUUACUGGGCGUAAAGCGUGCGCAGGCGGUUUUGUAAGCCGGAUGUGAAAUCCCCGGGCUUAACCUGGGAAUGGCAUUCGGGACUGCAAGGCUGGAGUGCGGCAGAGGAGACUGGAAUUCCGCGUGUAGCAGUGAAAUGCGUAGAUAUGCGGAGGAACACCGAUGGCGAAGGCAAUCCCCUGGGCCUGUACUGACGCUCAUGCACGAAAGCGUGGGGAGCAAACAGG
rnacentral:rRNA from 1 species